rnacentral:misc_RNA from 1 species
AUUGAAGAUCACGACUUCAAUACCAAGGUGCGCAAUGCCGCCCGUUUUCUCGGUGACGGCAAUAAAGUUAAAAUUACCAUUAUGUUCCGUGGCCGCGAAAUUACGCAUCCGGAGAUUGGCCGUGAGCUUUGCGAGCGGGUCGCUCAAGAUGUUAGUGAAAUCGCUAAAGUGGAAAAGGCAGCUAAAGUUGAAGGCCGAAAUAUGACCAUGAUGCUGGUGCCUCAGGAACAUAACACCGACAAAAAGAACAAGUAAGAGGGGGAAUUUUCAUGCCUAAGAUGAAAACACA